UGCGUAGGUGGCGUGGCAAGUCUGAUGUGAAAUCCCGAGGCUCAACCUCGGAACUGCAUUGGAUACUGCCAUGCUUGAGCACUGGAGAGGAGACUGGAAUUUACGGUGUAGCAGUGAAAUGCGUAGAUAUCGUAAGGAAGACCAGUGGCGAAGGCGAGUCUCUGGACAGUUGCUGACACUGAGGCACGAAGGCCAGGGGAGCAAACG
rnacentral:rRNA from 1 species